UGGGGAAUAUUGCGCAAUGGGGGAAACCCUGACGCAGCGACGCCGCGUGAGCGAUGAAGGCCUUAGGGUUGUAAAGCUCUGUUUUAAGGGACGAAUGUUACGGGGAGUAAUAUGCCCUGUAAAUGACGGUACCUUAAGAGGAAGCCCCGGCUAACUACGUGCCAGCAGCCGCGGUAAGACGUAGGGGGCGAGCGUUGUCCGGAAUUACUGGGCGUAAAGAGCACGUAGGCGGGACUUUAAGUCAGGUGUGAAAGACCGGGGCUCAACCUCGGGGCGGCACUUGAAACUGGGGUUCUUGAGGGCAGGAGAGGAAAGUAGAAUUCCUGGUGUAGCGGUGAAAUGCGUAGAAAUCAGGAGGAAUACCAGUGGCGAAGGCGACUUUCUGGGCUGACCCUGACGCUGAGGUGCGAAAGCGUGGGGAGCAAACAG
rnacentral:rRNA from 1 species